AUAAAGGUGGCAGAUGAAGUGCAUUA
rnacentral:tRNA from 1 species